AUACGGAGGGCACAAGCGUUGUUCGGAAUUAUUGGGCGUAAAGCGCGUGUAGGCGGCUUGGCAAGUCGGGUGUGAAAGCCCGGGCUCAACCUGGGAACUGCCUUUGAAAUUGUCGUGCUAGAGACCGGGAGAGGAUGGCGGAAUUCCCAGUGUAGAGGUGAAAUUCGUAGAUAUUGGGAAGAACACCGGUGGCGAAGGCGGCCAUCUGGACCGGAUCUGACGCUGAGGCGCGAAAGCGUGGGGAGCAAACAGGAUUAGAAACCCCUGUAGUCC
rnacentral:rRNA from 1 species